rnacentral:tRNA from 1 species
GCCGUCGUGGUGGAACAGGUAGACACAGCCGGGUGGCAUCCGGCCGGGCCUGGGUAGCGCAACUACCCUCUUUGCUCGUGCGGGUUCGAGUCCCGCCGACAGCA